GAUGAACGCUGGCGGCGUGCUUAACACAUGCAAGUCGAACGGAAUCUUCGGAUUUAGUGGCGGACGGGUGAGUAACGCGUGAGAAUCUGCCUUCAGGAGGGGGACAACAGUUGGAAACGGCUGCUAAUACCCCAUAUGCCGAGAGGUGAAAUGAGUUUCGCCUGAAGAUGAGCUCGCGUCUGAUUAGCUAGUUGGUAGUGUAAUGGACUACCAAGGCAUUGAUCAGUAGCUGGUCUGAGAGGAUGAUCAGCCACACUGGGACUGAGACACGGCCCAG
rnacentral:rRNA from 1 species